rnacentral:snoRNA from 1 species
GGAUCGAUGAUGAACCCCACAAAAACAUUCCUUGGAAAAGCUGAACCAAAUGAGUGAAAGCUCAUUACCGUCGUUCUCAUCGUGACUGAGGUCC